rnacentral:rRNA from 1 species
CACGUAGGAGGCGAGCGUUAUUCGGAUUUACUGGGCGUAAAGCGCGUGCAGGCGGUUCGGUAAGUUGGAUGUGAAAGCUCCUGGCUUAACUGGGAGAGGUCGUUCAAUACUGUCGGACUUGAGAGCAGUAGAGGGAGAUGGAAUUCCGGGUGUAGUGGUGAAGUGCGUAGAUAUCCGGAGGAACACCAGUGGCGAAAGCGGUCUCCUGGACUGUUUCUGACGCUCAGACGCGAAAGCUAGGGUAGCAAACGGG